rnacentral:rRNA from 1 species
AUAUCAAUAAGCGGAGGAAAAGAAACCAACAGGGAUUACUCAGUAACGGCGAGUGAAGCGGUAACAGCUCAAAUUUGAAAUCUGGCUCACGCCCGAGUUGUAAUUUGUAGAAGAUGCUUUGGGUGUGAGCUCGGUCUAAGUUCCUUGGAACAGGACGUCAUAGAGGGUGAGAAUCCCGUAUGUGACUGGUACGCUUCGCC